rnacentral:rRNA from 1 species
UACGGAGGGUGCAAGCGUUAUCCGGAUUCACUGGGCUUAAAGGGUGUGUAGGCGGAUAUUUAAGUCAGUGGUGAAAUCUCCGGGCUCAACCCGGAAACUGCCAUUGAUACUAUUUAUCUUGAAUUCUGUUGAGGUGGGCGGAAUACAUCAUGUAGCGGUGAAAUGCUUAGAUAUGAUGUAGAACACCGAUUGCGAAGGCAGCUCACUAUCCAGACAUUGACGCUGAGGCACGAAAGCGUGGGGAUCAAACAGG